AUGAAAAUGGCCCCAAUAGGCCCAUUGGGGAGUGGCACUAUUAGGAGGUGUGGCCUUGUUGGAGUAGCUGUGGCCAUGUUGGAGGAAGUGUGUCACUGAGGGCGAGUUUUAAGGUUUCAGAGGCUCAAGCCAGGCCCAGUGAUAGAACUCUUUCUUCCUGCUGCUUUCAGACUGGGAUGUAGAACUCUUGGCUCCUUCUCCAGCACCAUGUUUGCCUGCAUGCUACCAUGCUUCCCAUUAUGAUGAUAAUGGACUGAACCUCUGAACUGUAAGCCAGCUGCAAUUAAAUAUUGUCCUUUAUAGGAGUUGCUGUGGUCAUGGUGUCUCAAACAGCAUUUGAAACUCUAAGUCGUGUAGGUCUGUUGGAGAAGGAAAAGGAAAGUCUCCAUAGAAUUGUUUCAAAAAUACAUUGCUUGGUAUAAAUAAGGAAGCCAAAAUUACAAUGUAUCCUAGUCCUGACAGGUGCUUACCCUGAGUGCAAUGAGUUGGAGAGUGUUUUCAAAAUCUCAAAAUAAAUUCUAAUUCUAACAUUUACAUUUUAAUGACAGCAUUCUAAUAUUGGGGGAUAUAUUUUGUGGCUUUUGAAUGGUAGAACAAUUUCACAGAUAACAAACUGAGCUAACCUUAUACCACUGAUUUACAGCCCUUCUUGCUGAUUAUAAAACGUACCGCCUGGGCUCAGUGACUGCCUAAAAUUUUAUUAUUGUUUGUUUGGUUUUUGAUACAGGGUUUCUCUUCAUAGCCCUGUGUCUUAGUUAGGGUUUUACUGCUGUGAACAGACACCAUGACCAAGGCAAGUCUUAUAAGGACAACAUUUAAUUGGGGCUGGCUUACAGGUUCAGAGGUUCAGUCCAUUAUCAUCAAGGUGGGAGCAUGGCAGCAUCCAGGCAGGCAUGGUGCAGGAGGAGCUGAGAGUUCUCCAUCUUCAUCUGAAGGCUGCUAGGAGAAGACUGGCUUCCAGGCAGCUAGGAAGAGGGUCUUAAAACCCAAAGGCCACACCUCCUAAUAGUGCUACUCCCUGGGCUGAGCAUAUAUAUAAAACCAUCAUAGCCUGGCUGUCCUGGAAUUCACUCUGUAGACCAGGCUGGCCUCAAAUGCAUGGAGAUCUACCUGCCUCUGCCUCCCCAGUGUUGGGAUUAAAGGCUUUAAAUGUAAAAGCUUAGAAUUUUCAUGUGCUUAGAAUCAGGAGUUAUUUGCAUCGUUUACAAGCUAGGACAGAGGAGAUGGCUCAGUGGGUCAAGGUUUUGCUGUGCAAGCAUGAGGAUCUGGGUUCAAACCAGCAGUCAUUUAAAGCAGGUGCUGCAGGGGGUGCCUGUGCUAAGGAUGGAGCAGAAGCAGGUGGGAUGCUGGCCAGUCUGUCUAGCGGAGACAGUGAGCUUUAGGUUUAGUGAGACAUGUUUCAAAACUGAGGUAGAUCUGAGACACCUGACAGGUCACCCACGCACAUGUGCACACACCUGCAUGUACCACACAUAUAUGUAAAUAAAUACAAACAGAACCAAAGCUCUAGAAACCAGCGUCUGUAUUUGGCAGGGUAUUCUAAAGGAAUAGAACUGUCCUCCCACCACACCCCUGUGUGUGUGUGUGUGUGUGUGUGUGUGUGUGUGUGUUUGGAUAGGGAUGGGGUAGUCCAGCAGUAGCCAUUUCUACGGGGGGAGCCCUACAACCUUGUAGUUUCUCAGUCUAUGAAACUAGAGGUCUCAGCUUUUUCCAGUUUGAUGCUAAAGGCUGAGCAGACUCCUGGAGAGUGGGUGAUCUUUAGUUCAUGCUAGAAUGCUGAAGAGGCUGGAGUCUGAUGGGGCAUAAAGUGGUAGAGGUGGCGCAGCAGCAGCAGCAGCAGCAGCAGGUGCACCCAUCUGCAAGGGCAAGGCUGAUGGCAGGCAGCACGGUCUUUUUCUUCAUCUCUCCUGCUGCCCACUCUGACCUAGCACAGGACAUCUCUCCCCAGUACAUUCUUUCUGAGAAUGCCCUCACAGAGCUGCCCUGGGGCAUGUCUCUUAGUUGACACCAGGUUCCUAUCUAGUUGAUGGUGUGUGUGUGUGUGUGUGUGUGUGUGUGUGUGUGUGUGUGUAUACGUCUGAGAGGUGGGCCUUGUUUCCCAAACUCCUGGACACCCAGAUGCCACUGGGAACCUUGAAGGUCUGAAACAGGGCCCUCUGGCCAUCAACAAUCCUGGGGGGCCAGGGGGAAGGGGAAUCCAGCUUAGCUCAGGAGUGAGUGUCCGUGUCUGGAGGGAAGACGUCUUGGCUCUGUAUGCCGAAGGCUUCCCUCCAUGGCACUUCUUGAUGAGAGAGACAGUCCUUGCUUGUCCAAACUGUUUAUUGGCAAUGGAAAAUGGAUGCAUAAAGCGUACUCAGGGUGGACCAGAGAUUAAAUCCCUUUUGCAGGAAGAAAUGUCCUGGAAGGGAAGCUUAUUGGCUAAACCCUCAGGGCCUGCCCAUCCUAAGAUACCUCCUUAGCAUGGAGAACUCAUGCUCUGUGCUCUGUGACUAGUUGUCACAGUCCUUAUGUGGGGUGUCCUGGUCUGAAUCUGCUCACCCUUCCCAGUUCUUGUCUGCUGACGCGGUUCGACUUGCCUCACACAGAGGUGGGUGGGAACAGAAGCUAGAGCACACCUGGAGACAGCGACUGGGAGGGGAGAGGCGGAAAAGACAGAGACUGUGUGAAGGAUCUCCUAUCGGCUGGAUUUCACGACACAUAGCAUCACACCAGCACCCAGAAAUCUGUGGGUUAACAGAAGCAACUGUGCCCGGAUGGUUGUGCAGUUAAAACUCUCUGCCUGUUGUCUUUCUACUCAGAAGGCAGUUUGGCGAGACUUUCUGUCUAGCAUGCCCACUUCCUUCUUGCACCUUAGACUGCUCCAGUGCCUCCUUGGAAUGAGCGUUUCCUGUGUAGGAGUCUAAAGCCAGCCUGACAGUUCCCCCGGGGUAAGUGAUCUGAUGGCUUAGGAGAUCUCCAGAGGAUUUUCUUCGUGGUCAGGAGCUGCAAUAGGUAUAAAAUGUCUGACCUGUAGCAUGUCCCUUCAGUGAAGAUAUGUAACAUUUUUUUUAAUUGAGGGUUUUUUUUCUAUUAUAUUUUUGUUUGUUUCAUGAUUUUGGACAUUUUUCUUCGGGGCAUCAUUAAAAGUUCCAUAUAAAGGCUUUUUUAAAAAAGGCUUCUCCCUGCUUGGUGUGACGAUUGCAUCCAAGAGCUAUGGAGGAAGCAGCAGCCCCAGCCAUGUGGUGGCUUCCUUCCCAGGGUCCGAUGCUGGCUCUACUGUGGCUUUCUAUGCUGCACUAGGCUUCCUGCCCCUUCUGGAUGGAUUAUGUGUGCAGGCUGGAACACAACCCCUAGCAAGCUUAUGUCAUACAAAGUAUACCUGUUCUCUGUGGUGGCUACAAGGUCCACUUUAUGGCAAUCUUCUUCACUGUGGUGCUAACCAGAAAGAGUCUGGUGAAGCCUUCAGUUUGUUGUUGAGGAGAGAGCUGGAUGUCACGGUGGGACUCUGAGAGUCCUGACAGCUUUCCCUGGCUGUCCUAGAACUAGCUCUAUAGACCAGGUUGGCCUCCAACUCACAGAGAUCUACCUGCCUCUGCUCCCGGUGUGGUGGGAUUAAAGGCGUGUGCCAUCACCACCCGGCUGAGUCUUCAACUCUUCACCAUUGCAGAAACGUCCACAUAUAAAUUCCGAGGUUCUCCUCAUCAACCCACUCCAUAAAACCAUCAAAAGAAAUUCCGAUGCUCGGCGGGUCACUAAUCCAGUGUGUGUGUGCAGGGAGAGGCGUGGGCCGAUAUCUGCAGGCACUGUGGUCUUACUGUUGGCUCUGGAGACCAAGGGAGCGCGUGAGGGAAAUUUCACCGUCAAACCAGGACCUGCUCCUUUCCUCCAAAUUUUAUCCAAGCAUCUUUAUAUUUUGGCACUACUUUCCAUUUCUCGACAUUAAACCAACCGAGUGUUCCUACGCCUGCUAUCUGUGGGAGUUUCCAGUGUUUGAGUGGGAACUCCUAGAGUUCCAGAUAAUAAUAGAAUUGAGCCCUAUACCUCAAGAUGUCUCUUACCCUCAGGCCUUUGUACUUCUAUUUUAUUUUAUUUUAUUUUAUUUUAUUUAAUUUUGUAGUGUAGGGAUAGAUCACAUUUGCUCAGCAGGUAACUCCCAGGCCAGGAGUCACUUUUCCUACUGUUAUCCAGCCGAGCCUUCUAACUGAUGAGCGAGUCUUUGCUCUCUCCUUUCUCCUACACAGCUUUUGUUAAAUCAGGGCUGCUUUCUUUAUCAUUCAUAUGUGUUUUGGACGCUGGGGAGUAUAUUGGUGUCCUAGUUUGCAAGAGAAAAGAGAAAUGGUUCUGGGUCUUGAGGGAUGGGGUUAGUUUUCUUUUUGUUUUCCCCUCUCUUAAAUGAUUUCUGAAUAUGGAAAGAGGGAUAGUAAUGCAUUCAGACAUUUCAUACCGUGGCUCCUCUAUAAUUUGUCAGAAUAGUGGUGUCUAUAUUUUAGGAAAAAAUAGAAAUCUACACUCAUGCAGCCUAAAUUUGUCCUUAGUGUUCAGCUAUUCAGAAUUAUAGACUUUUCUAGAGUAAAAUAAAAAGUUGUAAGACCCCAGCUCAAUGUUUUUCUUAGACCCCUAGAAACGAAGCCCAGCCCGGAGUUUUUUGUUCUUUUGCCUUCAGCCUGAGAGAAUGAUGGCCGAUGGGCGACCCACCCAAGCGCCUGACCCAUAGUGUAAGGGAUCAAGAAUGUUUACUGAAGAUAGCCUGUAACCUUUCCGUGAGAGAUGAGCUGUAAUUCACCAUCCCCAUUCUUACGAUGUUUACUCAGGUUCCCCAUUCUUUGUGCUCUUAUCUUCCCCUUACUUUGCAGUUUAUUCUUUAAAAACCCUUGACUGCAACUGCUGGGGGCCGAUCUCCUCUGCCCCUGUGCGGGUUAGGAGCUCGGCCUCAGCAUGCUGAUUUCCGAAUAAACCUCAUGCAAUAUUGCAUCAAGAACGGUUUCUCUCGAGUUAUUGUGGUGCCGGCUCAUCCUGGGACUUGAGCGAGGGUCUACCCAAAACGGUCUUUCAAAAUGACUGUGUUUCUAAAAGCUCGGCAAUAUUAAAUCCUGCUUUUGGCUAGCUCUUACUUGGAGCCUAGUAAUUAGAAUACACUGAAAAUUUCAGGGUCCCAAAAGAUAGAUCAAUUAUGCUUAUAUUACUUAUUUAUUCCUUAUAAAAUACUAGGCUUCCCAAUGUUUAUUCCCCUCAAGCCCAGACUCUACAAUCCUGUGGCUCACCUGUGUCUUGGGUUGGGAUUGCUGGUAGCAAACUGGGACUGGGAUCCACUCCACGCAGCCGCAAGUAUCCGCUUAUCUGGAAAGAACUCUUUUCAUGGGGUUAAUAGCAGAGCGCAGAGCACUUCUGGUCCUGAAAAAAUUAUCAUAAAUCAGAAACUUGUUGGCUAAUGUGUUAUGUUUGUGGCGUGACUUGAACUGUGUUCGGGUGGUGGGUUGCUGAAUGUAGACUUGUUGUUGCUGUUGCUGACAGGAUGAUGGCUUUCUGCCUGAAUUUCAGUGUUGUUAUGAAAGAUAUCCCUGCAGGCUAACAUUUAGGACAAUUUUGUCAUUCACAUUCCAGUUCUCAAAUUCCAAUUUAACUUCUGGUAGAAUAGUCCCUUUUUCAGAUUCGUAAAAUCAAAUUCCUUAUGCACGCAUCAGAGAGGUGCUUGGUGAUUCAAACACAUGUUGAAGUUUUUGUACCAAAAGCAGCUGCAGAAACUUAAAGUAGGAUUCAAGUUCACCGGAAAAUGUCUCUUCUGAAAUUUGGACUCUGUUUCUACGGAAAUAGGAUAGGUCUUCAGAAUCCGUAAUUCCACUAAGCUCUGGGCUCAAUCCACAUGCCUUGUUUAAGCUUAGCGUUCUUCAUAUCCUGAAACCCGCCCCUCCGCUCCCUUCCCCGACUGUUGCUCCAAGAUCAGAAUAUUCUGCUAAUUCAUCAGGACAGCAAGAAAGCACAUUCUCUUGGGUCCCUGUGUGUUGGAUAAGUUAGGCCCGUGAGAGUUCUGUAGUUUCCCCAAAGCCCUUCACCUUGAAACAUGUUAACAAGAUCCCAGAGUCUAGGAUUCUGACUGCAUUAAAACAAACUCAAACUGGUUUGGUUUUGCCCUAAUUGGAAACUGUUAGGAGCAUGGGUGUGAAGAACACUGACAGCCAUAACAUCCUGUUCUUACCUGAGGAAAAGGCCUUCUCUUCAUAGCACUAAUGGCAAAAUGGCUGACCACCGAUGCUAGGCUUGUCAGCCCAUAGCCUUCGUCUUCAGUGGGUACAGAGCAUCUCUUUGUUCUUCCACUGCCGGCAACCCCUGACUACUGAUCAGGAUCAGGUCGGUCUCGUUACUGAACACUGAAGGUCUAGCCUGUGCACUCGCUAUUUGGAAUGUACAUCUUCAAGAAAACCAACAAAACAAAACCUCUCUGUAGAUCAGGCUGGCCUUGAACUCACAAUCCUCUAGCCUUAGUCUUGAGAGUGCUGCUGUUACGAGCGUAUACUGCUUUGCUUGGAUCAUAAGAAAUACACUGUCUAAGAGUAUUUUCUGGGCCAGCAAGAUGGCUUAGUAGGUAAAGGUGCUUGCCACCAAAUCUGAUGACUUAAGUUCAAUCCUUGGGGCCUACAUGGUGGAAGAAAACCAACUCCUGAAAACUGUCCUCUGACCUCCAUACUCGUGUCAGGGCACGCAUCACCCUCUAUCCAUAUAAACAAUUAAUUAAAUGUUAAGCAAGAUUAAAAAAAACAUGAAAAGAAUAUUUUUCUGGUGACCAGUAACAGCAAUCCCUUCAAAGCUAUAUUAAGCAAAACUAGAGAAUUACUUUAAGUAUUUUGAGGGGGUAAGGAGACUGUACUCUGUAAAACUAGGAAGUCCUCUCUAUUGUAUAGAGAAAUACAUAUUUGUUUAAUGAAUGGCUGGGGGGGGCAGGUAGAAGAAACUAUACAAUUUAGAGUCUAAGGUCUUUGUGAAGCCUUCAACCCUCUAAAUCUCUUAUUUCCUUUUUCUUGAACCAUAGAAGUGGCCUCAAAUGCAGACCUGGCUAUAGCCGGUCUAAUGAAGAACGCUGCAAAGCAGUGGAUGUUCCAGUUCCCAGAUGUUUUUGUACAGGAAUUUCCAGAGCUGCUUGUAUCCUUCCAGAGUUUCUGGUAUCGUUUCCUCUAAAGCCAGAACCAUGUGGCCGAAGCUGCCAAGUUUGUGUGCUUGCUGGGGCUGGAACCUGGCCCCCUUGGUCAAAUACAUUUUCCUUCACUGCUUCAGCCUGGCUGUCCUGGACCUUGCUUUGUAGACCAGGCUGGUCUGGAACUCGCUGUGUAGACCAGGCUGGCCUGGAACUCAGAGAUCCACCAGCCUUUGUUCUCUGGGUGCUGGGAUGUGAGGUGUGUGCAUCUAUGCCAACCCCUAAGCUUUUUUUAAAUUCCUUUUCACAAGUUGGAAGCUUGCUUGGGUGGAGGUCUUGCUCUGAGGGCACUACUCCCUUUAGUCCAUUUGGCAGCAGGCUUUUCUUUAAACCUUUUGUUUUCUUGAGCCCUGGACUUUAGCUCCAUUGCACUUCCUGGUGCUCUUUUUUCCCUCAAACUGCAUAGCUCAUUUUCUUUUCAUUAUAGAUCUGCCUAAGACUGGCCACUAAUAACUAAUAUGAUAAUUGACAUAAUCAAUACUUGGCUGUUUUGAAAUCUCCUCUGCCAAUACCAUUAAUCUAAAACUCUUCAAUUUAGCCUCAGAUUUAUGUAUGUAUGUAUGUAUGUAUGUAUGUAUGUAUGUAUUUAUUUAUUUGUAUAUUGGACAAAGGCAGAAAACAGCCACACUCUUCACCAAAAUAUCACAAGUAUGAUCUCUGGGCCACUUACUAAUAUUCUUCUCCUCUGAAACCUUUUGAUCUGGGUCAUAAUCUACAUUGUUCUGUCUUCCGUGUACCUAAUAGGAUGGCCCAUUAAGUCCUGCUUAAAAUGUUCAAUUGCUUUCCCCAAUCCAAGUUCCAAAGUCCAUAUUGCACCAAGAAACCCGGCUUGUCAUAACAAUACCCCACUCCUGGUACCAACUUCUGCCUUAGUCAAUGUUCUAUUGCUGUGAAGAGACACUGUGUCCACGGCAACUCUUACGAAGGAAAGCAUUUAACUGGGGCCGGUCUACAGGUUCAGUAAUGUAGUCCAUCAUUGCCAUGGAGGGGAGUCUGGUGGCAUGCAGGCAGACAUGAUGCUAGAGAAUGGGCUGGGAGAUCUACAUCCAGAUCCACAGGCAGCAGGAAGAGAGAGACACAGGGUCUGGCUUAGGCUCUUUGUAGACCAGGCUGGUCUGGAACUCACUGUGUAGACCAGGCUGGCCUGGAACUCAGAGAUCCACCAGCCUUUGCUCUCUGGGUGUUGGGAUGUGAGGUGUGUGCAUCUAUGCCAACCCCUAAGCUUUUUAUAAAUUCCUUUUCACAAGUUGGAAGCUUGCUUGGGUGGAGGUCACCCAAGCAAAUCUCAAAGUCCACCCCUAGUGACACACUUCCUCCAACAAGGCCACACUUCCUAAU
rnacentral:lncRNA from 1 species